GGAAAAUCUCUAAAAUCCUGAAUUAAAAAAAAAAACACAAAUGAAGUGAAAGCUUUUAACUGGUACACACUGUUCACACCUAUAUUUCAAGUUUGGAAACGCAUAUUUUCAAGCAGCAAUACAAAAAAGUAUCCAUGAAGAAUGCAUAAUCUCUGAAAAAAUUAUGAAAACAUCCCUGCUACCAUUACAUUUCUAAAUACAAAACUGACUACCAUAUUGUUGCUUCUGUGUAGCGAGAGAAGUUCAUUUUCGAAACAGAUAAAAUUCAGUCUUUAGGUGUGAAUGGUAUGAAUGACAGUCUCCUUUCUUUUUUUUUUUUAAAUUUCUUAGUUGUUUAGGAUCCUUAAGCAUGCAAGCCUCGGAGAGGAAGGCCCGACGAGGGCAGGGUUGGCUUAUGACAUCCAGUUUAGGACAGAGCUGGGAAAGCCUCUGGGUCAUCUACAUCAGGAGCAGAAGCACUUGACUGGUUGGGCGUGUGGAUCACAUCAAACUCCUUAACCAACUUGUCAGUCCUGCCCCCACGGCUGGCCCUGCCUCCACGCCCUCGGCCACCCCGGCCCCCUCGGCCACCGCGUCCGGGGCGGCCGAGGUCUCCAAAGUUGAUCUCCAGCUGGGAUGUGAUGUCGUUGGCGGGCUUACGGAAGUGAUGAUCCAUUACCGAGUCCUCAGCGUGAGCCUCCUCGCUCUUUGACUUGUGAAGAACAAAUCCUUUUUUCCAUUGCCCAUCAGCACCCUCAUUUGGUUUACGGAUGUUGAACUCAACCUUUGCACGAUCCUUACUUUGAAUAGCUUUCCAUUCGUCCAGGGUCAUUUCCUUAGGACCUUCCUCCUUAACUUCUUCAACCUCAUUUUCCUUGUUUUCAGAAUCAGCAGGCGGAUGUUCCUCUCCCUCUGGCGUUUCCUCAGUUACAGCAGACUGAUCCAAUUCAGUGAGUUCGUCUUUGACAGUUCCCCAGUUGUGUGAUCCACUGCCACCUCGCUUGUCCUCGUGCUUUAGGCCGGAUCUAUCGCUGCCACUAUGUCUGUCAAAUUCACGUUUGCCACGAGAGUCAAACCCAUCUCCUCUGCCCAUCCCACGGCCACGGCCACGGCCUCUUCCAAGUCCACCACGUCCACGCAUCGGUCGGUCCAGGAUGGGUUUAUCAACAGAGAAUUCUCCUCCUUCUCCCUUCUCAUCGGCAGGUUUAUCAAAUCGGCGCUCGCGAGGAGGUCGUCUCUCAGGUCUCCUGUCAAUGGGUUUGCCUUCACCCUGCUGCUGCUGCUGCUGCUGAUCAGGCCUCCUGCCAAUGCGCCUUAUCCCCUCCUUCCGCAGCGGCGCUCCGGGCUGCCCGCCGCCCUCCUCCCGGCGCUCUCCCCCGGCGGAGGCGGCGAAGGGCGGCAGCGGGUUCUUGCGCUCCUUCUGGGACUCCCUGCGCAGCUGCUUGGCCGCGCUGCCCGCUCCGCCGCCCGAGCCCGCCUGGCCCGGACCUCCGCCGCCGGCGCCGCCCGAGGAGUUGCUCUGCGCCCCCGCCGGGCCUCCUCGGGCCCCGCCGCCCCCCUGGGCCCCGAAGCCCUCCUGCAGGUGUCCGGGCAUGAUGGGCCCCCGUCGGCGGGAUCCUGCUCCGAUGCUGCCGGGCCCCCCGCGCCCUGCUCGCUGCCGCACAAGAUGGCCGGCCGCGAAGAGACCCGCUUCUCUUCCGGCGCCGGGCACAUCCGGGCACCUCACCCCGCGCGGGGCGCGCCGGGACUUGGAGGCGGCCGGCGCCCAACGCCGCGCGCGCGCAGGCGGCGAACUACAGCUCCCGGCGUGCCCCGCGCCGCCAUUGUGUGGGGCCGCGGGCGGGCGGGGCGGGGGCCGCCAUGGCCGCGGCGUGGGCGGGAGUGCUGCGAGCGGAGCGCGCGGCUGGGCGCGAAAACAAACCCACCUCCACGCGAAUAAACGCGCAGGCGCUGUGAAACAUUACGCCCUUAAAAUGCCCCGAGCCGCGGAUCUGCGUUAAGGGAUCGACGGGGCCGGCCGUGGCAGCUUGUGCUUGUCUGUACGGCGCUUCGUACCGACGCGCCUAAGCGGAGCCGUUACCCCGCCGCAUCCGCGCCUCCGUGCGUGUGGGGCCGCCUCAGCGCAGAGGCGCCGUGCGGGGCAGCGGGCCGGGAUCUGCCAUGGAGUCACCAUGGAGUCACCUCCAGCUCUGAGGUGCAGUGCUUCCUAGCUGGGAUACCUCCUCCCAGGUUGAAUGCUUCCUUCCAUUACGACUCCUACUCAGAUAUUUACCACAUACGCACCAUUAGAAGACGAUAUCAAGCGGGUCAGGAGACAAGAUGGGAAAUAUUUGCAGUCCUAAUUAGCCCUGUUGAUAGCCAGUGGAAAUUACAAGCGUACUAACAAUUAAAACCUGCUUCACUGGUGCAUAUUUGACAUUUCUUCCCAAAAUACCGCUAAAUACGUCUCAGAACCUCCUGGCACGCGCUGCCAUCGCUACCUUCGUCUGCAGUGAGGAGAUUUCUGAGGCCUGCCCUGCCAGCCGCAGGCCACGUCCAACCAUUGCUUCACAAAGUCAUUUCCAUCCAUGAGUUCUUGAGGCUGACACGUGGGAGCCCCACACACCGUCGGGCUGCGUGCAGCGGGCGCCCCACAGCAGCAGUGCUUUGCGGAGGCCCUUGGGAAGCCCCUCUUGAAGCAGUGGAUCUCCCACAGAGGAACGCACGCGGCUCUCGGGAUAUUUAUAAGGCAGAGCAGCUCUCCUCUGCAGCCCUUCCCUGCCGGGGCUGUAACUCACAGCUGUGCAUGGCCCCCCCGCAGCCGGGAGCUCCAUGCUCUCUGCUGUUGCUCCAUGGGGCUGAAAUGUCCGCCCUCCUGCUGCCCACGCAGCCGCUCUCCGCAUGCCUGCAACACACUGCUCUGCUAUUUCUGAGCAUUGCCAGCAGCUGUCGGCUUAUGAAGCAAGAAGAGGAAACGCAGCAGGCUUGAGGUGUCGGUGUGGGUCCUUGCUCCGCUCCUCAUUUUAACCCAAGAACCCUUAUCAGUGCACGGUGCUGGUUCUGUCCCAGUGUGUGCCACCUCCCUGCCAGAACACACAGCAGACCCACCAGGAGGCGGCUGUUCAGGUGCUUUUUGAGGCCACAUUGGCUUCUUGCACAGAGAACGUGACAUUUGUUUCUGAACAAAGUACAGCCAUGGCUUCGGAGCAGCAAGAGGAGCUCCAUGUGUCACCCCGUCGUGGCAUGCUGCAAAGCAGCCUCAGCAACUUUCUGCUCAGCUUCCUGGCAGCUGUUCUCAGUGGAUUCCCGAUGUGCUGCAUGGAGAGACUGCACUCAGAGCGUGGUGCCCACGGCUGCAAUUAGAUGCAGGGAAUGCAGCAGCAGCCAGAACACAGCGUGCUUUGUGCUGAGCUCUUUGCACUGAGCAUUCCUGGUGCGUGGGCUCCUGAAGGGAAGCAGUCCUGGAGUGGCAGCGGGGCAGCAGCAGUGGGCAGACGUCCUUCAGGGCUCCUGUGUACCCUCUCAUUUCAGCAUGGGUUUUUGCAGAGCAGGAAACCCAGCAGUGCUGUUAACAGGAGGGCUGUAAACACGUGGACAACAGCACUGCUUCCUCACAAGGGGCAUGCAUUGGAAAGCAAAAAAGCGCAGCACUGCUCUGCACAUGGAGAUGUGCAACAGAGAAGUGAAGCAAAGCGUGCAGCCACAGAACUUCAGUGAACCCGGACUAAUUGAGCCCUGCCUGUUCCUCCUUCCCCUGAAUCCCAAGCAACUCGCAAGGUGAGUGCUGCUCCUUCCCAGCAGCAGGGCAGCAGGUAUUUCCAGCUGACAGAGGCAGCGCCAGAGCCUCGGGCAGCAGAGGGUUGGUCCUGAGCUCUGCCCUUACCAAACCCCUGUGCAGCAUCCAGCCAUUCUCUGUGAGCUCUGCUGUGCUCUGUCCUCAGAUGGAAGGAGGAAAAGAGAGCAAAUAAAGCAUUUUCCCCUCACAAGGGCUGGGGGAGUGGGCACAACAGCAGCGCUGUGAAGGCCAGGACGAGCGAAGCGCAUGCAGUGCUGCCAGCAGUGCUGCUCUGUGCCACCACACCCUGUGGAGCUGUAUCUAUGACCCAGCUGGCUGCAAAAGAGCAAACACAUCUCCUUUUAAUUCAUGCAGCCCAUGCCAUGACUUUUCAGCUGGAUCAGCUCUCUGGCUCAGCGUUCCUCCCUGAGACUUUUGGGGCUCUUUGCUCAUUUUCCCCACUGUCAGACCCACGUUCCAAGGCCG
rnacentral:lncRNA from 1 species